AGGCGGGAGCUAAGGUCAGGCCGCAAGGCGUAGCCGAUGCACAGACGGUAGAGAUUCCGUCCCCACCGAAAGAUUUAAGCACAGGGACACUUUUUGAAGGUCGGAGCCAGGUGUUGGUUCUGGUAGUGAUCGAGGGAAAUAUAGUACCGAAGUCUGGCUGGAAGAGAGGCGAGAAAAGCUGUGUGUAUAUCUAAGGUGCCCGUACCGCAAACCGACACAGGUAGAUGAGGAGAGAAUCCUAAGGCCGGCGGAAGAAGCAUUGUCAAGGAACUCGGCAAAAUGGCCCCGUAACUUAGGGAUAAGGGGUGCCUGGGAAACCAGGCCGCAGAGAAUAGGCUCAAGCAACUGUUUAGCAAAAACA
rnacentral:rRNA from 17 species